CGCUAUCACUCCUACGGGAGGCAGCAGUGAGGAAUAUUGGGCAAUGGACGAAAGUCUGACCCAGCCAUGCCGCGUGCAGGAUGACGGCCCUACGGGUUGUAAACUGCUUUUAUACAGGAAUAAACCCCCGAACGUGUUCGGGGCUGAAGGUACUGUAAGAAUAAGGAUCGGCUAACUCCGUGCCAGCAGCCGCGGUAAUACGGAGGAUCCAAGCGUUAUCCGGAUUUAUUGGGUUUAAAGGGUCCGCAGGCGGGAUAUUAAGUCAGUGGUGAAAGCCUACAGCUUAACUGUAGAACUGCCAUUGAUACUGGUAUUCUUGAGUGUAGUUGAGGUGGGCGGAAUAAGUCAUGUAGCGGUGAAAUGCAUAGAUAUGACUUAGAACACCGAUUGCGAAGGCAGCUCACUAAACUACUACUGACGCUGAGGGACGAAAGCGUGGGGAGCGAACAGGAUUAGAUACCCUGGUAG
rnacentral:rRNA from 1 species